rnacentral:rRNA from 1 species
UACGUAGGAGGCGAGCGUUGUCCGGAAUUACUGGGCGUAAAGAGCGCGUAGGCGGCACGGUACGACCGGUGUGAAAGCCCCCGGCUCAACUGGGGAGGGUCACCGGUAACGGUCGAGCUAUGAGUGCAGGAGAGGGAAGUGGAACUCCGGGAGUAGCGGUGAAAUGCGUAGAGACCCGGAGGAACACCAGUGGCGAAGGCGGCUUCCUGGUCUGCGACUGACGCUGUGGCGCGAAAGCUAGGGGAGCAAACGGA